GUGAGUGUCCGCGUUGGAUGCUCGGAGCGUCUGCGGAAUGGAGAGCCGCGCUCCGCCCGCCGGGUGCCGCGCACUGCCGCCAGGGGGCGCUGUCCGCCCGCAGCCGCCGCUUCCUUUGGUGCCUCUCCGUCCCUUUGGGGUCCCCCCGGGGUCCCUGAAUCGUGGGGUUCCCCCCUGGUUCCUUUGGGGUCCCCUGGUUCCUGCUGCUCCCCCCUGCUUCCUUUGGGGUCCCCUGGUUCCUGCUGCUCCCCCCCGGUUCCUUUGGGGUCCCUGAAUUGUGGUGGUUUCCCCAGUCCCUUUGGCAUCCCUGGUUGCCUGUGGGGUUCCCCCCCUGUUCCUUUUGGGUCCCUCUGGUUCAUUUAGGAUCUCCCGGUUCCUUUGAGGUUCCUGGUGCUCCCCCAGUUCCUUUGGGGUCUCUGAACUGUGGCGGGGCCUCCCAGUUCCUUUGGGGUCCCCUGGUUCCCAGUGGAUCCCCCCCAGUUCCUUUCGGAUCUCAGAUUCUUUUGGGGUCCCCUGGGUUCCGUUGGGGUCCCUGAAUUGUGAUGGGUUCCCUGGUUUCUUCGGGGUACCCCCUGGUUCCUUUGGAGUCUGUGGUUCCCUGUGGGUCCCCGGUUCCUUUUGGGUCCCCCUGGUUCCUUUGGGAUCCCAGAUUCCUUUGGGGUCCCCCCCAUUCCUUUGGAGUUCCUGGUGGGUCCCUUCAGUUCCUUUGGAGUCUCCCGGUUCCUUUGGGGUUCCCUGAUCAGUUCCUGCUUGCAGCCCCCACUCCCGGAGCUGUUGGAGCUGUUGUGCACAUUGGCUCUGCUGGGUGCAGCCCAACAGCCCCAUUUCUGCUCUGUGGUGAAUGCUGCGUAGUUUCCAUUUGCAAACAGGAUGUGCCCCAAAGCAUUCGGUGUUCAAUGCUCCGUGGGGUUAAAGAUGUGUUUACUGAAGAACAUCCUAAAGAGAAGUGGAAAAGAAAACCAUCCCGGAGUGCCCUCACGUGCUUCUGCUUCACCCAACGAAGCAAAGUAAUGCAAAGCUCGGCUGCGAGGAGAGCAUUUACGAUUGCAGUUGAGCCACACAGCCCUGAAGUCACUGCGCCUGUGCUGCUGCUGCUGCUUUGCACCGAGCACAGAUCCAACCAGAGUGCACCACCGCUGUCUGCACCAAUUCACUGCUCUUUGAACUCCCAUCCACGCGUAUUUAUCUCAUUCUCUGCUCUCUAAAGGUUAUUUUGGAUGGCGUUGCCCACUGUGGGUUGGUCGGAGUGGCUGCAGGGGCGCCGUGCGGAUGCACACGAGCUCCCAUAGCCGGCAGCAGGAUGAGGAACUUAAUUAAUGUGAAGUUCGGAGCUGACCUUUGCAGAAAUCGUUAAAACUAAUGAGCGUUUUUAUCUGUUUUGCCAGGACUCGACUCCAAGGAAAUGAAAUUAAUUCCUAUUGUGGAACAUUCGGUGAGGAGCCGCGCUCUCGUUCUUUACUGUGGCUGAUGGAGCUGACGGCUGCCCCCUCCCCGAGCUCACGUGGAGCAGCUCUGCUUCUUCCAGUGUUAUCCAGAAGAGUCUGAGACCGCUCCCAGUGACCCCAUGGGCGUGAUGGAUGCUGAAACAGACCGAGGGCGAGUGCUGGGGCCUGGGGCAUGAAAAUGCCCAGCAGUAAAAGCAGCACUCGUCUGA